rnacentral:lncRNA from 1 species
AUAGUGAACAACUGGAAACACCCUAAAUACCCCCCACCAGGGGCCUGCUGCAUAAAGCACGGGGCAUCCACACUACGCAAGCCCCACAGCAGCUAAUAAGAAGUAGGGAGAUGUACCCGCUGAGGUGAGAAGCUCUCUGAGGUCUAAUACUAAAUGGAAAAAAAGCAAGUUGCAGAAUGAUAGAUCCAAUAUGGUAUCAUUCAUUUUUUAAUCAAAAAUCAAUAUAACAUUGUUUCUGUGGAUACACAUAACACUAUAUUUCACUGAACGUAAGACACCGUGGAUGGUAAAAUGCACCAUUAUUUUACAGACCACUGAAAAAGAAAAACAAAACCCACUGUCAAUUAAACCAUGACAAGCCACUAGUUGAAAGAUGCACCUCAAUUUCAGAAAUGUUAAAAUGUGUCUUAGAAUCUAUGAAAUACAGUAUUACGUAAAGGUGUAGGAGAAGGUCUGGAAUCAAGAAAGCCAAAAUGGUAAUAACAGUAGUUAACAAGGGGGUGGGGACAGCCUGAAGCCUAUCUUUGAAAUUUUUACAAACAGAAUACAUUUAUGGCCAGACGCAGUAGCUCAUGCCUCUAAUCCCAACACUUUGGGAGGCUGAGGCAGGAGGAUGGCUUGAGCCCAGGAGUUCAAGAGCAG